rnacentral:rRNA from 1 species
CCCUUAGAUGUUCUGGGCCGCACGCGCGCUACACUGACGAAUGCAACGAGCUUAUAACCUUGGCCGAAAGGUCUGGGUAAUCUCCAAAUUUCGUCGUGAUGGGGAUAGAUUAUUGCAAUUAUUAAUCUUCAACGAGGAAUGCCUAGUAAGCGCAAGUCAUCAGCUUGCGUUGAUUACGUCCCUGCCCUUUGUACACACCGCCCGUCGCUCCUACCGAUUGAAUGGUCCGGUGAAGCGCUCGGACCGCGGCCUCUUGACGGUUUUCCGUCGAUUGGCUGUGGGAAGUUCGUUAAACCUUGUCAUUUAGAGGAAGGAGAAGUCGUAACA